ACUUCAUAAAAAAUAUCAUGUUUUGUUUUGGGAUUGUAUCUGGGCCGAUCAACUAUUUUCUGUAUAAACUUGUCUGUCUCAUUUUGAAAAUAUUAAAAGGGAAGUAUAUCAAGUAUGUGAUCGUCCAUACAAAAAGAGAAAACGUUUUUCCAUUCUCCAUGAUUUUUUAGUAUGUUGUUGCAAUGAACAACUAGGUUUACAAUGUUAUCUGUUUUUUUUAUUUUUAUUUGGUAAACAAAAAAAAUUUUUUAAAACAAUGGCACUUAUUACAUAAAACAAAACGUCUUAAUGUCAAAACAAUAAGGUCAUGUUCAGAACAUAUAAAUUUAUCGAUAGCUGUUGUAACUUUAUCGAUCGACUUUUCCUUCCUCUAGUGUCGCCGCUUUCGUCUCUUACAGCCCGCGGUUUGGCCAUGCACAGCGCGUGAGUUGGUUGUCUGGCCUCGCCCUCAAUGAUGUGGUGGGGAACAGUUGGGAGACAGCGAGACUCAUUGAAAUUAUGCUUGGUUAUAAAUCUCCUUACUUCUUAUAUCUCUGUUAAAAACAAAAACUAUUUCACUUCCCAUUUCCUUUUCUCUUUCACGUCCCAUUACUGUUUUCAUUUCCUAAUAUUAAGCGUAUACCGAAAUGUAAAAAGUUCUCUUCAAACUGCUCAUGUGACUUAGGAGACAAUAUCCACAUAAGUAUAGAUUACAAAAUUGAGGCUGAUUUUAUGUCCUUUUCUAACGCCAUUGUAUUAAUUUUUAAUUAAUUUAAUAUAUAAAUAAUUUUUUCCUUAAAUUAUAAGUUGUUUUCUACACAAAAUUCUGAAACUCGGGUCCGUUAUGCAGUAGACGUUUUACGUGAUUUGUUAUCAAAUUCAUCAUAUUUAUAAGCCAGUAAAACGAGAAAACGAGCGAUGCUCUGGAUAUAUACCUAAUAUUUGCAAUCUAUAACAAUGAUAUCAUCCAUAGAUUCGAUUUAGAUUUAUUUAUUCCAUAAUAUUAAAUUACAAUAUAAAUUAUUUCAAGCUAAUCUAUAUGAAACAGCAAUCAUAUCAUAUUCAAUGUAAUUGUUAGCAAAAAUCUAUAUCCAUUUUUUUGGUAAAAAAAGUUGAUUGGAUACAAGAAAUAGUUGAUCCACCCGUAAGCAAAUGACCGCAAAAAGUGUAAGCGCGAUAGUACCCACGGUGCCGGUGGCCUUCGUUUCACGUGACUGUACCUACAGUUUUUGCUCUAUCCAAUUUUGACUGAAUCUAAUACCUACCCUUCAGCCCAGGUUCCUAAUAACUUCGACCGGUCCUUCUUAGUUGAAAUAAUGGUCGACAACGACCGUGUAGUGUUCCCCAAAGAAGUAGAAAACGUAAAAGCGAAGGCUGCAAAGUCUGGCGCAGGCAACAGCAACUCCGCGGAGUCUCCGCAGACGACCGCACCGCAGAUCACCCCUAGGAACAUGAUACAAGUGCCUAACAACUGCCCGGAAGGAUACGAGAUGGAUGAAAACGGAGUUUGCCGAGAAAUUUUCUAAGGCGUGCGAAAACGUUUAUUGGUAGUAUACGAGUAUGUACUAAACCCUUUGUUUAUACAUAUUUUAAUGUUUACCCAUUGUGACCCUAAAAUAUCAAGUUUGUUUUGACGUGCCUACCUGUGUGCCGUGCUCUUUAGGAAAUUUCGACAAAUGAAUGCGUAGAAUAUAUGCAUAUCAAGUGUGUUUCUAUGAAUCUUAUGUUACGAGUCGUGGCAUGGAUUAAAUCAGUCAUCAACAUUAUAUGCACGUGAUUAACUGAUGACGAUGAUAUACGAUGUAUUUAACAUCAGAUUAAGCAUUAAUGAGCUUUGAAAUAAAAACAAGUAUUACAGCAGAAAA